GUGUGGUGGAGAAGGGCGGGCAGUGGGGAAAGGAAUGAGACCCGGGGCGGAGCUAAGUCCGUGUGCAAAACAGGACAUGGAGGAACGCGGGUCCCCCGACGGGGACCCCGCGCGCGGCCUGGAGCAUGGGCCAGAGGCGCCAGAGACGCCUAUCCAGGUGGUGCUCAGGGUGCGCCCCAUGAACACGGCCGAGCUGCGUCGGGGGGAACAAAGUGCGCUACACUGCUCAGGGACCCGGACUCUGCAGGUGAGCCCCCCGGGCGGGGGCCCCGACGUGGCGUUCCGCUUCGGCGCCGUGCUGGACGGGGCGCGCACGCAGGAGGACGUGUUCCGGGCCUGCGGCGUGCGGCGCCUGGGCGAGCUGGCGUUGCGCGGCUUCUCCUGCACCGUCUUCGCCUUUGGCCAGACCGGCUCCGGGAAGACCUACACCCUGACCGGGCCUCCUCCCCAGGGGGAGGGGGUCCCUGUACCCCCAAGUCUGGCUGGCAUCAUGCAGAGGACCUUCACCUGGCUGUUAGACCGUGUGCAGCACCUGGGUGCCCCUGUCACCCUCCAUGCCUCCUAUCUUGAGAUCUACAAUGAGCAGGUUCGAGACUUGCUGAGCCCGGGGUCUUCCCAGCCCCUUCCUGUUCGCUGGAACAAGACCCGGGGCUUCUACGUGGAGCAGCUUCGGGUGGUGGAGUUUGGGAGUCUGGGAGCCCUGAUGGAACUUCUGCAAAUGGGGCUUAGCCGUCGAAGGAGCUCAGCUCACACGCUGAACCAGGCCUCCAGCCGAAGCCAUGCCCUGCUCACACUGUACAUUAGCCACCAAACUUUGCAGCAGAUGCCUCAUGUGGACCCCAGAGAAGCUCCUAUUGGUGGGAAGCUGUGCUUUGUAGACCUGGCUGGCAGUGAGAAGGUGGCAGCCACAGGAUCUCGUGGAGAGCUGAUGCUGGAGGCCAACAGCAUCAACCGCAGCCUACUAGCCCUGGGUCACUGCAUCUCCCUGCUGCUGGACCCACAACGGAAGCAGAGCCACAUCCCCUUCCGGGACAGCAAGCUCACCAAGCUACUGGCAGACUCACUGGGGGGGCACGGGGUUACCCUCAUGGUGGCCUGCGUGUCCCCCUCUGCCCAGUGUCUUCCUGAAACUCUCAGCACCCUGCGAUAUGCAAGCCGAGCUCAGCGGGUCACCACUCGGCCACAGGCCCCCAAGGUGCAUGGAAGGAGACACAAGCAGAAGCACAGGCAGGGGAGAUGGUGGGGGAUCAGGCAACGGCUGGAGUCUGAGUUGGCAGCAGGGUCCCCUGUGGCAAAGCAGCCCCAGCAUUUGGAGACGGAGAUGCUGCAGCUCCAGGAGGAGAACCACCACCUGCAGCCCCAACUGAGCCAAAUGGACCCCAAGGCAUCAGGUCUCAGUGGGGCCCGGAUGACCUGGGCCCAGCAGAACCUCUACGGGAUGUUGCAGGAGUUCAUGCUGGACAACGAGAGGCUAAGGAAAGAAAAGAGCCAGCUACAAAAUAGCCGGGACCUGGCCCGAGAUGAGCAGCGCAUCCUGGCCCAGCAGGUCCAGGAGCUGGAGCGGCGCCUCCGCUCUGCCUGCUCCCUCCACCAGCCGGGCCCUGGCCUAGCCCCACCGUGUCCCUGUGUGGUGGUGCCAGCCCCCUCCUGCCAUGCCCUGCCACCCCUCUGCUCCUGCCCCUGCUGCCAGCUCUGCCCCCUGUGCCAAGCACCACUGGUCCGCUGGGCCUGUCCGCAGAGGGAGCUCCACCUGCCCCAGGUGUUUGGUCCUAAAGUCCCAGGUGGCAUGCUCCUGUCUGCCCGGCCCCCACCCUGGGUGCCCCCAUGCAACCCUGUCUCUGCCAAGUGCCCAAGAGAGAGGAGUCACCGUGACUGGACUCAGACCCAAGUCCUGGCGGAGAUGCUCGCCGAGGAAGAGGUGGUACCCUCUGCACCCCCCUUGCCCAUGGGGCCCCCAAACACAUCGCCAGUGCUGAGAGGGCCACCUGCAUGCCCAGAUGGAUACUGGAGCCCAUGGUGUAUGCUGGCAGGGAGGGGAGUAGGUGGGGCUGCAGUUCCAAACCUGGCCCGGAGACUGGAAGCCCUCAGAGACCAAAUCGGCAGCUCCCUGCGACGCGGCCGGAGCCAGCCACCCUCCAGCAAGGACGCACGGAGCCCUAGCUGAGUCCUCCCUCCCUGCUGAGGGCCAGGCGGAACCCCAGGAGACCAUGCUGCCUGUGUCCUGGCGCUGGAGGUAUCAUGAGGCCUGAGUUCCGAUGCCACGGACCUGCUGUGAGCCGUGGACACCAGAGCAUCAACUGCAAAUAAAGGUGGCCAACAAGACUGGCAAGAGACAAGCUGGCUUUGCCCAGGGAGCUCCUAGUGACCAGAUAUUAAAAGGCAAGACUUGUGACUGGGCAUUAGGGGGGUUCAACAGUGGUGACUUUGUGCAAGGCCAGCAUUUGUGGAGGCAGAGCCUGGGCACAUGGGGUAACAACCGGACACCUCAGGCAGCCAGUAUAGAUGCCAGGAGAGGGGACUGUGGUUCAGAGACAACCAUACAAGUUCAAGUCCCAGCAUCAUCAGUUUCCAUGUAUGAUCAUGGGCAAGGGAUUUAAUGCUCUAAGCCUGAGUCACCUCAUCUUCAGAAUGGAUAUAAUAAUAGUACUCCCUCCUGGGAUGGUCAUGGGGAUUAAACCCAUUGAUAAGUGGAAUGAGUAUAACAUAAGGCUUUGCCUGUUGCCGACAGUUCAGCCAAAGGCAGUUUUUAGUCAAUAUGACAUUUUGAUGGAGUUGACAAUCUGGGUUCAAAAAAAAAAAUUCAUUCAACAAAUACUUACAAGAACCUACUUUAGGCCACCAUUGAACAAAGCAGAAGAAUCCCUACCCUCACAGAACACAAACAAAAAAACCAAGAAAAUGGACAAAGUACAUGGCAAGUCGGAUAGUGGUAAAUUCUAUGGAGGAAAAUGUAGCAGGGAGGUCCGUCUGCUGGGGCAAGUGCCCUCUAAAUAGGGGGGCCAGGAAGGGUGCUGUAGAGGUGAUACUCAUACAGAGACCCAAAGGAGGGGAGGAGGGUGAGCCUGAUUAAUGCCAUUAAGUCACUUCCGUUUACUCCAGUUAAUUUUGAUGCCACAUCAGCUUGAGUGGUUCAGCAGGUUUGGGCCUAGGAGCCUCCCCUCCCCAGAGCCCUUAUCUCCCUCAUGUCUGGUGGUCCUGCUUGCUGGGAGGCCUCCAGCCUCAGGCAGGGAGGCGCCUGGCUCCAAGCGUGAGACCCUGUCUUAGCUGCUUUGGGAGAAUGGACAGGGACCACCCAGGGGGACCCUAGCUGUUGCCGGUUCAUUCCUGUUUGGACAACCCCUUCUCCCGCUGGAGCCAGCUACUAUUUUCCAGUUUCCUAGUUCCAGCUCAGCAAAAUCCCCACUUACUUUCCCAGAGAUAGCCAGAGGACUCUAGGGAUUAAGUCUCCACUGCCCCCACCUCAAGCCAUGUGUGGCCAUCUUCCAGUCAGCAUCCUCGUUCUGGAAUCCCUAAACCCUGGAGGAAUUCCACAGAACCCCAGUAACAUACUAACACUCUUUAAAUCCAGAGGUCCGUACUGAGAAACUUAGGGAUUCCAGAGGGCACUUCUGCAACCCUGAAAGCUAUAGGCCUUCCCAGAAGGCUGGAAUUUGGGGGCAGUUCUUGGCUCCAUGAAAUAGGAGAUUACUUCUCCAGAGCUGUCAAACUUAGAAGAAGGUCUCUGGUGUGUUAGAAUGGGGCACAGCUCUAGGAAACCCUGAAGCACAGUAGGGAUUUCCUGGAGUUCCAAAUCUGUGAAAGAUCUUAAAAUUUUAAAACAUUUUGAUGAAGUUGGGCGGGAUUCUCUGGAAUCUUUGGCUAGGGGUAGGAACGUUUACCAGAGCUUGGAAGGCCAUCCCUGAGUUUGUAGAAUUCUGGCAGAUCGAGAGAUCAACUUCGAUGUCCGGAACCUUGGUUGGGUUCUCCAGAUCCUUGGAAACCCUAACUCACAGCCAGUGUCGAAUGGGGAUCAUGGCUGGAAGCAUUACUGUAGAACAACAGUAGCUUUGGGAAAACCACUCCUGUGGACAACUGUGUUUAAAAGGCUAUGAGGUCUCAUCUGGGUGACCAACCCCCAGUUAGACCCCCAAGAGGCAGAGACAACAGGCAAGUUUGUGAAGCCCCUCCUGCCAAGAACAUCCUGCCACUGCCUAUCUGCCCCAGCCACACCUGCCCUCUCUCACAUCCCAGGUGGGCCCUGCUUUCUCUCACCUGGUCUUUCUUCUCUUUGUCUAAUACGCAUUGCCCCAAAUUAAUAUUUAUUCAAUUUUGUACACAAAAGGUUGGUUUCUGAA